rnacentral:tRNA from 1 species
GCGCCUGUAGCUCAAUUGGAUAGAGCAUCGGUUUACGGAGCCGAAGGUUGGAGGUUCGAGUCCUCCCGGGCGUG